AGAGUUUGAUCAUGGCUCAGGACGAACGCUGGCGGCGCGCCUAACACAUGCAAGUCGAACGGAGCUUGAAGAGCUUGCUUUUCAAGCUUAGUGGCGGACGGGUGAGUAACACGUGAGCAACCUGCCUUUCAGAGGGGGACAACAGUUGGAAACGACUGUUAAUACCGCAUAACAUCGUGAGAUGGCACCAUCUUACGAUCAAAGAUUUAUCGCUGAAAGAUGGGCUCGCGUCUGAUUAGAUAGUUGGUGAGGUAACGGCCCACCAAGUCGACGAUCAGUAGCCGGACUGAGAGGUUGAACGGCCACAUUGGGACUGAGACACGGCCCAGACUCCUACGGGAGGCAGCAGUGGGGGAUAUUGCGCAAUGGGGGCAACCCUGACGCAGCAACGCCGCGUGAAGGAUGAAGGUUUUCGGAUUGUAAACUUCUUUUGUUAGGGACGAAAAAUGACGGUACCUAACGAAUAAGCUCCGGCUAACUACGUGCCAGCAGCCGCGGUAAUACGUAGGGAGCAAGCGUUGUCCGGAUUUACUGGGUGUAAAGGGUGCGUAGGCGGCCGAGUAAGUCAGAUGUGAAAUCUAUGGGCUCAACCCAUAAACUGCAUUUGAAACUACUUGGCUUGAGUGAAGUAGAGGCAGGCGGAAUUCCCUGUGUAGCGGUGAAAUGCGUAGAGAUAGGGAGGAACACCAGUGGCGAAGGCGGCCUGCUGGGCUUUAACUGACGCUGAGGCACGAAAGCGUGGGUAGCAAACAGGAUUAGAUACCCUGGUAGUCCACGCUGUAAACGAUGAUUACUAGGUGUGGGGGGACUGACCCCUUCCGUGCCGGAGUUAACACAAUAAGUAAUCCACCUGGGGAGUACGGCCGCAAGGUUGAAACUCAAAGGAAUUGACGGGGGCCCGCACAAGCAGUGGAGUAUGUGGUUUAAUUCGAAGCAACGCGAAGAACCUUACCAGGUCUUGACAUCCAACUGACGAAGUAGAGAUACAUUAGGUGCCCUUCGGGGCGUUUGUCGAGGUGCUGCAUGGUUGUCGUCAGCUCGUGUCGUGAGAUGUUGGCUUAAGUGCCAUAACGAGCGCAACCCUUGUCGCCAGUUACCAUCAAGUAAAGUUGGGGACUCUGGCGAGACUGCCACCGCAAGGUGUGAGGAAGGCGGGGAUGACGUCAAAUCAGCACGGCCCUUACGUCCGGGGCGACACACGUGUUACAAUGGCGACUACAGAGGGAAGCCACCUGGUGACAGGGAGCGGAUCUCGAAAAGUCGUCUCAGUUCGGAUUGGAGUCUGCAACUCGACUCCAUGAAGCUGGAUUCGCUAGUAAUCGCGCAUCAGCCAUGGCGCGGUGAAUACGUUCCCGGGCCUUGUACACACCGCCCGUCAAGCCAUGAAAGCCGGGGGUGCCUGAAGUCCGUGACCGAGAGGAGCGGCCUAGGGCAAAACUGGUAAUUGGGGCUAAGUCGUAACAAGGUAGCCGUACCGGAAGGUGUGGCUGGAUCACCUCCUU
rnacentral:rRNA from 1 species